rnacentral:rRNA from 1 species
GACGAACGCUGGCGGCGUGCUUAACACAUGCAAGUCGAACGGAAAGGCCCCCUUGUGGGGUACUCGAGUGGCGAACGGGUGAGUAACACGUGAGUAACCUACCCUUGACUUUGGGAUAACUUCGGAAAACGGGGGCUAAUACCGAAUAGGACCUCCUGUGCAUGGUGGGGGUUGGUAAGUUUCGGCGGUUGGGGAUGGACUCGCGGCUUAUCAGCUUGUUGGUGGGGUAGUGGCUCACCAAGGCUUUGACGGGUAGCCGGCCUGAGAGGGUGACCGGCCACAUUGGGACUGAGAUACGGCCCAGACUCCUACGGGAGGCAGCAGUGGGGAAUAUUGCACAAUGGGCGGAAGCCUGAUGCAGCAACGCCGCGUGCGGGAUGACGGCCUUCGGGUUGUAAACCGCUUUCGCCUGUGACGAAGCGUGAGUGACGGUAAUGGGUAAAGAAGCACCGGCUAACUACGUG